GAUGAACGCUGGCGGCGUGCCUAAUACAUGCAAGUCGAGCGAACGGACGAGAAGCUUGCUUCUCUGAUGUUAGCGGCGGACGGGUGAGUAACACGUGGAUAACCUACCUAUAAGACUGGGAUAACUUCGGGAAACCGGAGCUAAUACCGGAUAAUAUUUUGAACCGCAUGGUUCAAAAGUGAAAGACGGUCUUGCUGUCACUUAUAGAUGGAUCCGCGCUGCAUUAGCUAGUUGGUAAGGUAACGGCUUACCAAGGCAACGACGCAUAGCCGACCUGAGAGGGUGAUCGGCCACACUGGAACUGAGACACGGUCCAGACUCCUACGGGAGGCAGCAGUAGGGAAUCUUCCGCAAUGGGCGAAGGCCUGACGGAGCAACGCCGCGUGAGUGAUGAAGGUCUUCGGAUCGUAAAACUCUGUUAUUAGGGAAGAACAUAUGUGUAAGUAACUGUGCACAUCUUGACGGUACCUAAUCAGAAAGCCACGGCUAACUACGUG
rnacentral:rRNA from 1 species